rnacentral:rRNA from 1 species
GACGUAGGGGGCGAGCGUUGUCCGGAUUUAUUGGGCGUAAAGCGCGCGCAGGCGGUUCGGAAAGUCGGAUGUGAAAAUCCGGGGCUCAACCCCGGACCUGCACCCGAUACUCCCGGACUGGAGGCAGGUAGGGGAGAGCGGAAUUCCCGGUGUAGCGGUGAAAUGCGCAGAUAUCGGGAAGAACACCGGUGGCGAAGGCGGCUCUCUGGGCCUGUCCUGACGCUCAGGCGCGAAAGCUAGGGGAGCGAACAGGAUUAGAUACCCUGGUAGUCCUAGCCGUAAACGAUGGGUGCUAGGUGUGGGGCGGCGAUCGACCCGUUCCGUGCCGUAGCCAACGCAUUAAGCACCCCGCCUGGGGAGUACGGCCGCAAGGCUAAA